UUUACUUUUAUCAACUAUAAUUCGAAUGUAAACAUUAUAAACAUUUCCGAAUAGUAUAGUACAUUACACGCAUUAUCGUUAUAAUAAAUCGUAUUUAUAAUAUUAUAUUGAUAACAUAAUAAUUAUUAAAAUUAUUGAAGUAUAUUAAAACUCCGGAAAAUACGAGAGUAUUGUCGUUAAUAAGAUCCUCAUUGUUAUUCGCAUU